rnacentral:lncRNA from 1 species
GACAGUUUACUUUUCUACCACCCGGAAGAAGUUCACUUUUGCUUCAGGUCAAAAUCCUCCGCGAUUUCUGAGAGGAACUUUAAAUCUCUAACAUAAGAGCACGCUUUUAAUAUUGCAGGGAGAGGCUCCUCCGUGCUCCUGAGAGGCCGAACACAGGGUCGCCAGCACAGCUUACUGCUCGGUGUCUCCUGAGCCACAGAGGAAGACGUGGCAGGAGCACCUGGUGCUAAUAUAUAUUCAUGUCUAUGGCAAUGCCGACCAUCUGGCUGGUCUGAACCAGGAUAAAAGUGAAGAAUUCCUCUGUGAAGACCCAGCUCUUUCUUUGGCUCCUUUUUUGAAGCCAUCUUUGCUCUGCUCUCCUCUGCUGCCCAGGCCCAGUGGGACCUUGAAUACAUACUGUAUUUCUUUAAUUCAUGAAUGUACCAUUGGAAUAUAUAUAAUCAACAAUGAUGGAACCUCAUACUGGCUUCUCACCUAUUAUACUAGAAAGGACUAAAUGGAAAGAAACUUCUGGAAUUCCUCUCAAUACCAAGAGUAAAUGAAAAGAAAUACCACAUCCCUGGG